UUUCAACUGGCAUUGGUAUCCCUAUAUACAUUCUAUGAGUUUUUGUAGCCUAACUACAAUACGCCACAUGUCACUGAUCUUGAAUUACCUCUCUCCAGUUUUCAACUGUUAAACCUAAAUAUCGUCUUCCUUCACGUCAAUCUAUUUUUCCUUGGGAUUUCCAUUCCAUUACAGUCCUAACUGUCGUUUUCUUCUAUUCCCAUUAUGUAACCUAAUCAAUAAAACCGUAUCCUUUGUCCUUUAACGAAGUUUGUCACUGGUGCUAGUUUCACUAUAUCGUACAGUGUUUUAUUAAACCUCGUUCACCCUGUUACUUUAUCGAUAGCAGUUUUAUAUAUUUUUAAUAUUAUAAUUUUAAAGUUAUCAUAAAAUAUAUUAUAAUAUCAGUGAUAAUUUAAAUAAGUACCUAUCUAUCAAUAUAUUAACAGUUAAUCAUAUUGCUAGGUGUAACUCUAUUAUAUUUUUUCUGUAACUAUACUUAAGUUUUACAGUUUUAUAACUCCAUCCUUUCAUCACUUGUAUACUUACUCAAACUAUAAUUAGUUUCAUUAUU